rnacentral:rRNA from 1 species
AAAUUGAAGAGUUUGAUCAUGGCUCAGAUUGAACGCUGGCGGCAGGCCUAACACAUGCAAGUCGAACGGUAACAGGAAUCAGCUUGCUGAUUCGCUGACGAGUGGCGGACGGGUGAGUAAUGUCUGGGAAACUGCCUGAUGGAGGGGGAUAACUACUGGAAACGGUAGCUAAUACCGCAUAAUGUCGCAAGACCAAAGAGGGGGACCUUCGGGCCUCUUGCCA